CUCUCUGUAGUUGUUGUUGUUGUUGCUACUGCUAGUGCUCCUGCGCUCUUUCUAUCUUUCUUUGAAUUAUUCUAUCGAUCAUCGUCAUCAAAUUCCUUACCGAAAUUCCCGAGGAGCCUCCGACGAUCAUCGGCUGAAUUGCCCGUGUGUUUGAAUUGAGGCUCAUUAGUGGGCAGACUUGUAGAUUGUUCAUUAUUAUGCUUUGGUCCCACAUGUAAAGGCCUAAAGGGAAAAUUAAGCUUAUGCCUUCCUUUCUGAAACAGAAGAAGGUGAAGAAAAUUGGUAUGUCUCAAAUGGGCAGUUUGAUUUUGAACCCAUCAUCGGACUGGAAUGUGAAACCGGACAACUUUAGCUUAUAGAAUACACAUAAAUGACUUGAAGCCCCGAGAGAGGGAUAAUGGCAGAGGUCGAAAGAUGCACCCUGAUGCAAAACAACGACCACCUAGUCUUUAUUCAACCAUCCCUUGUUGACCUAGUAGCAUUCGCCAUAGCCACCACCUGGGAAAACGGGCACUUUUGGCAUGGAGUAUAUUUUUUCUUUUUUGUAUAGCAAGGGUUCCCAACUUUGAGCUUAGAGCUGUUGUGGCCCAACUAGAGUUUUGGGCAAUUGAUCAGCCACCCUUUGCUUCACAACUCCCUGUGACCAUCUCAAGUGACUAAUUUCUGAUGCCUCUGACCCUAGCCGUUCCACUGUGGCUGCCUACCUAUCAAUUGGGUACUUAUUUCCUUACCGUCAUUGUGAGCACUGUGGCAUGCGGUGACAUUUUCCUGAUGAGUGGCCCCAAUAUUAAAGAAAUGAACGGGAAGGAAGAGUUUGAGAAAUGGAAGGUGAAAGCAAGGGCGGAAGUCCAUAGGAAUAAAGUGAAUGUAUGUACAUCCAACCUUUGUAUAAUGUGUAAUGCAAGAAA